UACGUAGGCAGCAAGCGUUGUUCGGAAUUACUGGGCGUAAAGAGUGCGUAGGCGGUGCUCUAAGUUUGGUGUGAAAUCUCCCGGCUUAACUGGGAGGGUGCGCCGAAGACUGGAGAACUUGAGUGUGGGAGAGGAAAGCGGAAUUCCUGGUGUAGCGGUGAAAUGCGUAGAUAUCAGGAGGAACACCUGCGGUGUAGACAGCUUUCUGGACCACCACUGACGCUGAGGCACGAAAGCGUGGGUAGCAAACAGG
rnacentral:rRNA from 1 species